GCCUCGUUAGCGCAGUAGGCAGCGCGUCAGUCUCAUAAUCUAAAGGUCGUGAGUUCGAUUCUCACAUGAGGCA
rnacentral:tRNA from 1 species